rnacentral:rRNA from 1 species
CCUACGGGUGGCAGCAGUCGAGAAUCAUUCACAAUGGGGGAAACCCUGAUGGUGCGACGCCGCGUGGGGGAAUGAAGGUCUUCGGAUUGUAAACCCCUGUCAUGUGGGAGCAAAUUAAAAAGAUAGUACCACAAGAGGAAGAGACGGCUAACUCUGUGCCAGCAGCCGCGGUAAUACAGAGGUCUCAAGCGUUGUUCGGAAUCACUGGGCGUAAGGCGUGCGUAGGCUGUUUCGUAAGGCGUGUGUGAAAGGCGCGGGCUCAACCCGCGGACGGCACAUGAUACUGCGAGACUAGAGUAAUGGAGGGGGAACCGGAAUUCUCGGUGUAGCAGUGAAAUGCGUAGAUAUCGAGAGGAACACUCGUGGCGAAGGCGGGUUCCUGGACAUUAACUGACGCUGAGGCACGAAGGCCAGGGGAGCGAAAGGGAUUAGAUACCCGUGUAGUC